rnacentral:lncRNA from 1 species
UUUGGAACUAUUUUACCUUUGUGUAAUGAUAUAUAACCACACAAAAUAUAUGUACCUCAUUUUACACCACAAGUUCAAAAGUCUUCUCUCUUUUCUUAAACUCUGUGCCGAGUCAAAUAGGUUCACAUGAAUUGAAACUGUUGAUUAGUGUAAUUAGUAAGAAGAUUUGAUUAGAUUAGAUUUUAUUCUCUAGCCUAAUUAAAUCAUGUCUAUAGAGUACUAUUGAUUAGUGUAAUUAGUAAGAAGAUUUGAUUAGAUUUGAUUUUAUUCUCUAGCCUAAUUAUAGGCUGAUUAUAUUCUGUAGCUUAAUUAGUGUAAUCACUGAUUUCCUUUCCUAGUUUAGUCAUAGGAUACAUUGUAUAAAUAUCAGUACUCUUGAUGUGAAUAAUAUACUGAAAUACAAGUUCUCUUGAAAUCUUCAUGGUAUCAAAGCCAGGCACAUUCCAAUUAUUGUUGCCGAUGUUGGGUCCACAUUUAUGUUGUCCACGCUCCAGAGGUCUGGGCGUGAGGGGGAGUGUUGAGUUGUCUCACAUCGGAGGGAUUUGAGGUCCUUGGUCUCCUUAUAUGGCUUGGAGAAUCCUCACCUCAUAAGCUAGCUUUUGGGGUUGAGUUAGGCCCAAGGUCCAUUAUUGACAAUAUAAAGUGAAAAACUGGAAGGAUCUUUAUAAUAUAUCCAUUGACUUAAAUAAGUCACAAGAGAAGUGCUUUAGUAGAUGCUUGAGAAAGAAAGGAAUCCAUAUAAAAUAUUAGUAAAUACAUACGUAAAAAGAAGGAUAUGGAGAAUAACAAAUGUGAGGACUGUAAAAGGCGAUGCAGCGGAUGAAAAUUAAGGAACUACACCAGAGACUACCUUUAAGUCAUACAUGCUUAUGCUCAGAAGAGUAACCAAUAGUAUACAGGUCCCAUGGUGCACGCUAUUUACAUAUGAUAUUUUGGUGAUUGAAGAAACUAGCCAGGGAAUCAAUCUAAAUUGGGACCUACAGUAAAACACUCCAGAGAGCAGUGGUUAUUGAUUUUCAGAUAAGUAAAAGUAAGUAAUGAUAUAUGCACCACAAAUUUAGCCCCCGUGAAGAUUGUAAAGUGAAAUUAGAUGGAAUAUGAAAUGGCAAUUCAUGGUCUUGUCAAUUCAUUAAGAGACAUUUCAAAGGCAAUAUGAACCCAAUAUGGCAGGGCUCUCACGAAAGCUGAAGUUAGUUCCAUUAGGCUAUGGUAGUCUACACCUAGUCACACAACUGGACACACCUUUUGCUCCUUAAUACUCCCUUCAUUUCAAUUUAUGUGUACCUAUUUACUUUUUAGUCUUUGGAAACAGCCUCUCUACCCAAGGGUAGGGGUAAGGUCUGCGUACACACUACCCUCCCCAGACCCCACUAAAUGGGAUUAUACUGGGUUGUUAUUGUUAUUGUUAUUUACUUUUUAGUCUGUGUCAAAAAGAAUGACCCCUUUCUUUAUUUGGAACUAUUUUACCUUUAUGUAAUGAUAUAUAACCACACAAAAUAUAUGUGCCUCAUUUUGCACCACAAGUUCAAAAGUCUUCUCUAUUUUCUUAAACUCCGUGCCUAGUCAAAUAGGUUCACAUGAAUUAAAACGGAGAGAGUACUAUUGAAAAUAUAAAGUGAAAAACUGGAAGGAUCUCUAUAAUAUAUCCAUUGACCUAAAUAAGUCAUAAGAGAAGUGCUUUAGUAGAUGCUUGAGAAAGGAAGCAAUUCAUAUAAAAUAUUAGUAAAUACAUACGUAAAAAGAAGGAUAUGGAGAAUAACAAAUGUGAGGACUGUGAAAGGCAAUGCAGUGGACGAAAAUUAAGGAACUACACCAGAGACUACCUUUGAGUCAUACUUGCUUAUGCUUAGAAGAGUAAUCAAUAGUAUACAGGUCCC